rnacentral:sRNA from 1 species
GCCAGGCAUGGUGGUGCAUGCCUAUGGUCCCAGCUACUUGGGAGGCUGAGGCAGGAGGAUUGCUUGAGCCCAGGAGAUUGAGGCUGCAGUAAGCCAAGAUCAUACCACUGCACUCCAGCCUGGGCAACAUAGCAAGAUGCUGUCUCAA